ensembl:lncRNA
AUUUGGGGUCUUUUGGGGUCACUUUGGGUACAGGUUUGGGGUUUUGGGGUCACUUUGGGGACAGAUUUGGGGUUUUGGGGGUCAAUUAGGGAACAGAUUUUUGGGGUCACUUUUGGGUUCAGAUUUGGGGUUUUGGGGGUCAAUUAGGGAACAGAUUUUUGGGGUCACUUUUGGGUUCAGAUUUGGGGUCUUUUGGGGUCACUUUGGGUACAGGUUUGGGGUUUUGGGGUCACUUUGGGGACAGAUUUGGGGUUUUGGGGGUCAAUUAGGGAACAGAUUUUUGGGGUCACUGGUUUUUUGGGGUCACUUUUGGGUUCAGAUUCGGGUGUUUUGGGGUCACUUUUGGGUACAGAUUUUGGUGUGAUUUUGGGAACAGAUUUGGGUUUUUUGGGGUCACUUCGGGUGUUUUGGGGUCAAUUGGGGUCCAGAUCUUUGGGGUCACUUUUGGGUACAGAUUUGGGGUUUUUGGGGUCACUUUGGGUCCAGAUUUUUGGGGUCACUUUGGGUACAGAUUUGGGGUUUUGGAGUCAAUUAGGGUACGGAUUUUUGGGGUCACUUUGGGUCCAGAUUUUUGGGGUCAUUUUGGGCACAGAUUUGGGUUUUUUGGGGUCCCUUUGAGUACAGAUUUUUGGGGUCACUUUGAGUACAGAUUUUUGGGGUCACUUUGAGUACAGAUUUUUGGGGUCACUUUGAGUACAGAUUUUUGGGGUCACUUUGAGUACAGAUUUUUGGGGUCACUUUUGGGUCCAGAUUUGGGGUUUUAUGGUCAUUUUGGGCACAGAUUUGGGGUUUUUGGGGUCACUUUGGGAACAGAUUUUUGGGGUCACUUUGGGUACAGAUUUUGGGGGUGAUUUUGGGUACAGAUUUGAGUUUUUUGGGGUCACUUUUGGGUACAGGUUUGGGGUUUUGGGGUCAAUUGGGGUACAGAUUUUUGGGGUCACUUUUGGGAUUGGUGUCCAGAUUUUUGUUGUGAUUUUGGGUACAGAUUUGGGUUUUUGGGGGUCACUUUGGGUCCAGAUUUUUGGGGUCACUUUUGGGUACAGAUUUGGGGUUUUUGGGGUCACUUUGGGCACAGAUUUGGGUUCUCUGCCUUUAUUUCACACGGGGGGUUUUGGGGCGAUUCUGAACCCGCGUUCGGGGCUGCGGGAAUCGCUUUCAAUCCCCUCUUCCGGUCCUCCGCCAUUCACUUCCGGCCCUCAACCCUCCACUUCCGCUCUUCUGCGCUCCACUUCCGCUCCCCGCCACGCUCCACUUCCGCCCUUCCACUCUUCCCGCCCUUUCCCCUUUCCUUUGACUUCGCUCCCCCGCGUCACGUGGCCCUCCCUCCACCAAUCGCCUCUCUCCCUGACCCCGUGACCUCUCCUUUCCACCAAUCAGCUGUCGCAGCAGCCCGGGCCUAGCAGCCCCGUGAUGGUGCCCCAGGACCCGCCGUGGCUGUGGGCUCUGGCCAAGGCCUGGGUGCGGAGCGCGGAUUUCCAGGUGCACGAGGCCGUCACGCACCUCCUGCGUGCGCAUCUCCUGGGGGAAGUUUUCGCCCUGGCCACGCGGCGGCAGCUGGCACCGCAACACCCGAUUUACAAGGUG